rnacentral:rRNA from 1 species
AGUGAACGCUGGCGGCAGGCUUAACACAUGCAAGUCGAACGCCCCGCAAGGGGAGUGGCGCACGGGUGAGUAACGCGUGGGAAUAUGCCCUUCGGUUCGGAAUAACACAGGGAAACUUGUGCUAAUACCGGAUACGAUCUACGGAUGAAAGAUUUAUCGCCGAGGGAGUAGCCCGCGUAGGAUUAGCUAGUUGGUGAGGUAAUGGCUCACCAAGGCGACGAUCCUUAGCUGGUCUGAGAGGAGGCUCAGUCAGACUGGGACGGAGACACGGCCCAGACUCCUACGGGAGGCAGCAGUAGGGAAUUUUCCACAAUGGGCGAAAGCCUGAUGGAGCAACGCCGCGUGCAGGAUGAAUGCCUUCGGGUUGUAAACUGCUUUUAUAUGUGACGAUUAUGACGGUAGCAUAUGAAUAAGGAUCGGCUAACUCCGUGCCAGCAGCCGCCGCCG